UCACACUUUCGAGUUGUCAUGUCUAACUGCUUUUGUUUCAGGAAAUAAAAGGACCAUAGAGCUCUGAUGAAUGAGCUGCUCGGGCACUUUGAGAUAUUUUAAGAUUGUUCAACAAGGAUAUAACAGUGCUAUACUUGUGAUUUGAGCUCAGGGAUGGGAAAUUCAAGUUUGGAAAAACAGAAGACCAUGAAAGCUGAGAGCUCAACACAUUUUGGGAAGUGCCAGCAGCACGUGCAGAAAAAUCUUUCCAUUCGUCCAUGGGAAAAAAUAAAAGUUACAAGACUGCAGAAGAGAAUCAAUAUAUUGGAAUGCAAUGUACUAUGUUCAAAAUCAACUUGAACUUCAGGGGUUCUGAUUUUGCAGUGAAACUUAGGUUCCAUGGAGCCCAACAUGGGGCUUGAGCUCACCA